UACAGAAGGUGCGAGCGUUAAUCGGAAUUACUGGGCGUAAAGGGUGCGUAGGUGGUUUUGUAAGUUAGGUGUGAAAGUCCCGGGCUUAACCUGGGGAUUGCGCCUGAUACUGCAAAGCUAGAGUACUGUAGAGGAAAGUGGAAUUUCCAGUGUAGCGGUGAAAUGCGUAGAUAUUGGAAGGAACAUCAGUGGCGAAGGCGACUUUCUGGACAGAUACUGACACUGAGGCACGAAAGCGUGGGGAG
rnacentral:rRNA from 1 species